CAAGCACAAACACAAAUACAUACACACAUACACACACACACACACACAUUGGCAGUCGCAGUUGCAGAGGCACGCUGCUGACACACGCGGCUCGCACGUUUUGGAAAAACUGUUCUUCGAGGCUUUUCCCACAUACGCGGCUGCAGCGCGCAUAUCCGACCGAUUCUUGGCGAGCUGCGGUCCAAAAUAAAAGCACAAAAAAUAAUA